rnacentral:rRNA from 1 species
CCUACGGGAGGCAGCAGUGAGGAAUAUUGGUCAAUGGACGAGAGUCUGAACCAGCCAAGUCGCGUGAAGGAUGACUGCCCUAUGGGUUGUAAACUUCUUUUAUAUGGGAAUAAAAUGUUCCACGUGUGGGAUUUUGUAUGUACCAUAUGAAUAAGGAUCGGCUAACUCCGUGCCAGCAGCCGCGGUAAUACGGAGGAACCGAGCGUUAUCCGGAUUUAUUGGGUUUAAAGGGAGCGUAGGUGGAUUGUUAAGUCAGUGGUGAAAGUUUGAGGCUUAACCGUAAAAUUGCAGUUGAAACUGGGAGUCUUGAGUACAGUAGAGGUGGGCGGAAUUCGUGGUGUAGCGGUGAAAUGCUUAGAUAUCACGAAGAACUCCGAUUGCGAAGGCAGCUCACUGGACUGCAACUGACACUGAGGCACGAAAGUGUGGGUAUCAAACAGGAUUAGAUACCCGAGUAGUC